rnacentral:rRNA from 1 species
UACAGAGGGUGCGAGCGUUGUCCGGAAUCACUGGGCGUAAAGGGCGCGUAGGUGGCUUGGUAAGUGUGCGGUGAAAGCCCGGGGCUCAACCCCGGGUCUGCCGUGCAGACUGCCUGGCUCGAGCAUAGUAGAGGCAGGUGGAAUUCCGGGUGUAGCGGUGGAAUGCGUAGAGAUCCGGAAGAACACCGGUGGCGAAGGCGGCCUGCUGGGCUAUUGCUGACACUGAGGCGCGACAGCGUGGGGAGCAAACAGGAUUAGAUACCCCAGUAGU